UUUGAUUAUUAAUUAGUAUUAAAAAUGAUGUACAUUGUGUGAUUAUUGCCAUCAUGUGAACUAUAAUUAGUUUGUUCAUAUUUCCAUGUUAUUGUCAUUCAUUGAUGCAACAUUUUAUUCAUAAAUUGUUAUUUUAUGCUCUAUAUUAUUAUCCCAUUUCAUUUCAUCACUACGAAAGUUGCGUUCAAUUUGUAUAUACCCCUAAUAAAC
rnacentral:lncRNA from 1 species